rnacentral:lncRNA from 1 species
CCUCCUCCACUUCCUCCUUUAGUGACUUGGCAGCAGGUGGCAGAGGAGGUGCCAAGCGUGCCAGGGGCGGGGGGCGCCUCGCUCUGUCUGGCGGUACAGCGCUCCGGGCUUCUCGGCGGCGGGUGUCCUGGCCCCCACCACCCGCGUAGCUCUGCUACCCAGCGUGGCACAGCGCCCCCGGCGCCCCCCGCCGGCCUCCUUCUGCACCUGCAGCGGCUCCGCGCGCCCUGCCCGCCGCCACCGCCGCCGCCUCCAGCUCCCAGCGCCUUGGUCGCCCAGGACAGAGUGGCUGUGCGCUCCGGUGGCGGACCCCUCGCCAGACGCCCCUGGGUCAGUGGACUCUAAGAGUGUCGCUCCAGCAUCUAUCAUCCCUAAAGAUGAACGUGAGAAGGGUGGAAAGCAUCUCGGCUCAGCUGGAGGAGGCGAGCUCCACAGGCGGU